rnacentral:piRNA from 1 species
UAAUUAACUACACGGCCCCUGA